GAUGAACGCUGGCGGCGUGCUUAACACAUGCAAGUCGAACGAUGAAGCCCAGCUUGCUGGGUGGAUUAGUGGCGAACGGGUGAGUAACACGUGAGUAACAUGCCCUUAACACUGGGAUAAGACUGGGAAAAUGGGUCUAUUACCGCAUAGGAGCGCCUACCGCACGGUGGGUGUUGGAAAGAUUUAUCGGUUUUGGAUGGACUCGCGGCGUAUCAGCUUGUUGGUGAGGUAAUGGCUCACCAAGGCGACGACGGGUAGCCGGCCUGAGAGGGUGACCGGCCACACUGGGACUGAGACACGGCCCAGACUCCUACGGGAGGCAGCAGUGGGGAAUAUUGCACAAUGGGCGAAAGCCUGAUGCAGCGACGCCGCGUGAGGGAUGACGGCCUUCGGGUUGUAAACCUCUUUCAGUAGGGAAGAAGCGAAAGUGACGGUACCUGGAGAAGAAGCACCGGCUAACUACGUG
rnacentral:rRNA from 1 species